AUAUGAAAAAUUAGAAAUGGAACUUUUCACAUGAAUUUUUAUAUAAAUCAGAAGAAUAUCACAAAAAAGUUGGAUUUAAUUUAUGUGCACUUGUAAAUCAGUUGACGCAGAUAUUUAGGUGCUGUAGUGGGCCAUAUUGGGUAUUAGGUGCUGUAGUGGGCCAUAAACUUUUUGAAAGCACUGAAACAUGUCACUGUCUUGGAGGAAGAAACAAAGAUGCAAAUGUGAACUUGUCCCCAGUACCAAUAACAGUAAGCAUUUCAAGAAAAUAUCAGCACCACACCAUAUACUUGGCUAUGCUACACUGCAAACUACCACUUCACUAUUAUCCUUCUGUUUUCGUCAAUUCUGAGUUUUGAGUGCAUACCACAAACCACUUCCCUUACUCUUUCAUACUUUCUUGAUCUUGUGAACAUGGCUGCUGAACUUGUUGGAGGAGCUUUUCUCUCUUCUUUUCUCAAUGUCCUUUUCGACAGGCUGUCUGAUCCUGAGAUCAUCAACAUGAUGAGAGGAAAGAAGGUUGACCAGAAGCUGCUUCAAAGGUUGAAGACCAUUCUGAACGUGGUUGAAGCUGUUCUGAAUGAUGCUGAGAAGAAACAGAUCACUGACCCUGCUGUCAAGAGGUGGCUCGAAGAUCUCCAAGAUGCUGUCUAUGAUGCUGAUGACUUGUUGGAUGAAGUUGCUACCAAAGCUGCUACUCAGAAGGAUCCACCAGGUAACUUCUUGUCUCGCUUUCUCAAUUUGCAAGAUAGGGAGAUGGUUGCUAGGAUUGAAGAAAUCAUUGCUAGACUAGAAGAUAUUGCAAAACACAAAGAUAUCCUUCGACUAGAAAAGAUUGCAGCCAAGAAUAUGUCUGGGAGGAUUCCAUCAACCUCGCUGGUUAAAAAAUCUGAUAUAUUUUUUGGAAGGGACAAAGAAAGGGAUGCCAUAGUGAAUUUGCUUUUAGAUGAUGCUUACAAUGGUGAACUGUCCGUGAUUCCCAUCGUGGGCAUGGGUGGGAUAGGAAAAACUACUUUGGCUAAAUUGGUUUAUAAUAAUGACAAAGUACACCAGAAGUUUCAUGUGAAGGCAUGGGUUUGUGUUGGUGAGGAGGAAUUUGAUGUUCUGAAGGUCACAAAGGCGGUGAUAGAGAAAACUUGCAGUUCUUGUUACUCAAAUGAUUUAGAUACAGCUCAAAAUCAUUUGAAGAAUGGGCUAGCGGGGAAGAACUUCUUGGUUAUUCUGGAUGAUGUCUGGAGCAGUAAUCGUGAGUGUUGGGAAAGUUUUCUAACACCUUUUGAAUAUGGAAGUGAGGGAGGCAAGAUUCUUGUAACAACACGUCUUGAUACAGUUGCUUCUGUGGUGAAAACUAAACGUAAUGAAGCUCACAAUUUGAGUUUGUUGGAUGAAGAACAAUGCUGGUCAGUGUUUGCAAAUCGAGCAUGGGAUCCUGCUGAAUCUCGAGAUUGUUCAACUUUAGAAGAAAUUGGUAGAAAAAUUGUUAAAAAAUGUAAAGGGUUACCUUUGGCAGCUCAGGCCCUUGGAGGGUUAUUGAGAGGGAAAGAUAAUGAAAAAGACUGGAUUGAUGUUUUGAAUAGUGAAUUCUGGGAACUCUCUGAGGAGGAUAGUGGGAUUCUUCCUGCAUUGAGAAUCAGUUAUUACCACCUUCCUUCGUAUUUAAAACGCUGCUUUGUUUAUUGUUGUUUGUAUCCGAAGGACUAUGAAUUUUAUAGAGAUGAAUUGACAUUAUUGUGGAUGGCAGAAGGUCUUUUGCUACAACCAAAGGGUGGAAACAUUUUAAAAAAUGUUGGUUAUGAAUAUUUUGAUGAUUUGGUUUCAAGAUCAUUUUUUCAACGUUCCAACUCUGAUGGUAAUACAUUUGUGAUGCACGACCUCAUGCAUGAUUUAGCAACAUUUUAUGGUGGAAAGUUCUUUUCUAGUAUGCUUGAACACAAGACUGCAGCAAAGCAUGAUAUGAAAACUCGCCACUUGUCAUGUGCUUGCCGCAAGAAUGAUGAUGAUUCGCUUAUGAAGAUCAUGGAAGCAUGCAAUAGGUUAAAACAUGUGAGGACAUUGUUGCAAGUCAAUUUGGAAAAAGUUUUUCUAGUCCCAGAGGGAGAUGGAGUAACCAUUCCUUGUGACUUACUAGAACAAUUGAAGUGCUUACGAGUUUUGUCGUUUAAUUUUUUUUCAGAUGAUGAAAACUUGAUGCAUAGUUCAAUUGGCAAAUUGAUCCAUUUGCGUUUUUUGGAUCUUUCAUUCACAUCCAUCGUGACUUUGCCCGAGUCUUUAAGUUGCUUGUACAAUUUACAAACCUUGAAGUUGAGAUACUGUAGAAAACUUAAAAAGCUUCCUAGCAACAUGCAAAAUCUUGUGAAUUUGCGUCAUCUUGAUGUUUUUGAAACAGGUUUGGAAGAGAUGCCAAAAAAGAUGAGCGAAUUAAAAGAUUUGCAAUUUUUAAGUUCCUAUAUUGCGGGCAAACAUCAAGAGAAUGGGAUUGGAGAACUGGGAGAGCUAGCAAAUCUUCAUGGAUCAUUGUGGAUUCAGAAAUUAGAGAAUGUUAAGAACAGUGGUGAAGCAUCGAGUGCAAGAAUGGAUGAAAAAAUACACCUGAAUGAUUUAUAUUUGAGUUGGGCAUCAUUUGAAGAAAGUGAGGUUUGUGAUUCCCAAACUGAAAAAGAUAUUCUUGACAAAUUAUGUCCUCACAAAGACUUGAAGGAGCUAUACAUCAGGCGUUACAGAGGUACGAUGUUUCCGGAUUGGGUAGGGCAGUCUUCGUACCACAACAUGACUGAUUUGUAUUUGAGUGGAUGCAGGAAUUGUUGGGUGGUUCCUUCACUUGGACAGUUACCCUCUCUGGAGAGGCUGAUCAUUGAAGAGUUCGACAAGGUGAAGAAGAUUGGUGGGUCAUUCUAUAAGGGUGAUGCAACUCAUCAGCAUCAGGAGACACCCUUCCGAUCCCUUAAAUAUCUGAAAUUUUAUGAUAUGGGUUGGUGGGAGGAAUGGGAGUCAUAUGAAUGUGAUGAUGAUGAUGAUGCACCAUUUCCGAAACUUGAAGAACUUUGGAUAGAGUACUGUCCUAAGUUAAGAGGAGAUUUGCCCACUUUCCUUCCGUCUUUGAAAGAACUCCGGAUUAAUGAAUGCGAGGAGCUUGGUUGUUAUCUUCCAAGAGUUCCCAUCUUACGCGAAUUAUUUAUAUUAGGCAAACAGAAAGCAAGAAUGCGGGACCUACCACUUUCACUGCAACUACUAGGAAUUGGAGGCAAGCAGCUUGUGGAGGAUGUGUUUGAGGCCAUGACCCACACCCAACCAACCUCUCUCAGUUAUUUAGAGAUCUCAAAUUGCUCAUCAGUGGUGUCAUUUCCAGGGGAUGCUUUGCCCCCUUCGUUGAAACAGUUGCGGAUCAAUAACUGCAAGAAUGUAGAAUUCCCAAUGCAACACCAACAACAUCACUCGCUACAUACAUUAGAAAUACACAACAGCUGUGAUUCGCUUACAUCCUUCGCAUUGCCAGCGUUCCCAAAUCUCAAUUAUCUCAAAAUUUCAGGUUGCCCUAAGCUGGAGAACAUAAUAAGGGUGCCUGCCUCUUUAACUCUACUCAUAAUCAGAGAAUGUCCGUUGUUGGGUGAAGGCUUAGAGAGGAAGGACCCCCACAUUUGGCCAUCCAUUUCCCACAUCCCCCGCAUUCAACUUGAUGGGAAAUGGAUUCGCAAUGACUCAACAUCUUAAAACAGCUUAUUCACCAUUCAAGUUGAUGGCAGGAGACAGUUUCCAUGAGGACUCAACAUCUUAAAACAGGUCAAGGAAUACCAAGGAAUGCAUCAUUACAGGAUGUGUCAAGGGUGAAAUACUUGCAUGCAUGUAUAGGUGCCACACUUGAUACCUUCAGCUAUGAAAUUUCUGUUCAUACUUGAGACACAUAAAUAUAUACUUCUUCUUUUCAUGGUCAUUCUUAGAUUUAUUUGAGUUAUUGGAUGAUUAAAAAGUAAGCUAUGGCCAAUUAUAGAGAUAUCCCAAACUCUCAGAAAAAUGGUACAAUUGGUUCUUGAGAGGCAGAGAAGAAGCAUUUCUAUAAUUGGGGAUAUUGUUGCAGAAGUUUGGAACAGGGGAAUUGCAUGCUUGAGUAGUUGCUGGGAUGUAUAGUUUUUUUUGAGUUUUUGUGAUGUAAACUGUUGGUUUGACGAAUCUUGAUGGCAAUGCCGAAGGGAUUCAACCACACCACUAGGUUUUAUGUCUGUUAUUUUGGAUGUUAAUAGGAAAAUUUUAUGUUAUAAACUUCAUUAUGAACUCAUUAAAUCAUAAUAGCAUGCUAUUCUUUUCUCUC